rnacentral:rRNA from 1 species
UCGGAUGUGUAAGCGUAGCGAUACGUUGAGCUAACCGAUACUAAUGAACCGUGAGGCUUAACCUUACAACGCCGAAGGUGUUU